AACGAACGCUGGUGGCGUGCUUAAUACAUGCAAGUCGUACGAGAAAGUCCUUCGGGAUGAGUACAGUGGCGCACGGGUGAGUAACACGUAGGUGACCUACCUUAUAGUUGGGGAUAACACCGGGAAACCGGUGCUAAUACCGAAUGUGCUACGCGGUCUUGGAAACGCGUAACAAAGAUUGCCUCUAUUUAUAAGCAAUUGCUAUGAGAUGGGCCUGCGCGGCAUUAGCUAGUUGGUAGGGUAAUGGCCUACCAAGGCAACGAUGCCUAGCUGGUCUGAGAGGAUGAUCAGCCACACUGGAACUGAGACACGGUCCAGACUCCUACGGGAGGCAGCAGUAGGGAAUAUUGCGCAAUGGGGGCAACCCUGACGCAGCAACGCCACGUGAGUGAGGAAGGCCUUCGGGUUGUAAAGCUCUGUCCUAAGGGAAAAAUGGCAAUUGGUCUAAUAGGCCAGUUGAUUGAUGGUACCUUAGAAGAAAGCACCGGCUAACUUCGUGCCAGCAGCCGCAGUAA
rnacentral:rRNA from 1 species